rnacentral:lncRNA from 1 species
CCUGGCAUCCGGGCCCGCACCCUACUUCCCAGCAGGGUGUCACGCUCCCCUGAAGACUGGAUAACUGUCAUGGAGGAUUCACAGUCGGAUAUGAGCAUCGAGCUCCCUCUGAGUCAGGAGACAUUUUCAUGCUUAUGGAAACUGUGAGUGGAUCUUACAGGGCCCCUGAGGUGCUAUCCCCCAGCUGAGGCCUGUGAGAAACAAAACUAAUAGUGUUAAAGCACGGUGUGCUAUUGGGUGCCUCUGAUCCCUGCACUUGGGAGGUGGAGGGAAGGGUAUCACACAGAAGUCUAAGAUCAUCCUUGACUAUAUAGCAAGUUUGUGGCUAGCCUGGGGUAAGUGAGAUUCUGUCUCCAAAGAACGGAAGGAAAUCAGCGGAACUAAUUCUCUGCUCUUGUUCUCCAGUCUUCCUCCAGAUGAUAUUCUGGUAAGGAGCCGGGCAAGAGGGGACUUAGGCCUUGGUGAGCUGGUGGGUUGGUAGCCCGAGAGCACAAUACUGAGGUUCUUCUUUGGCCCAUCCACAGCCCACCACAGCGACAGGGUCACCUAAUUCCAUGGAAGAUCUGUUCCUGCCCCAGGAUGUUGCAGAGUUGUUAGAAGGCCCAGAGGAAGCCCUCCAAGUGUCAGCUCCUGCAGCACAGGAACCUGGAACUGAGGCCCCUGCACCCGUGGCCCCUGCUUCAGCUACACCGUGGCCUCUGUCAUCUUCCGUCCCUUCUCAAAAAACUUACCAAGGCAACUAUGGCUUCCACCUGGGCUUCCUGCAGUCAGGGACAGCCAAGUCUGUUAUGUGCACGUACUCAAUUUCCCUCAAUAAGCUGUU